rnacentral:rRNA from 1 species
UACGUAGGGUGCGAGCGUUAAUCGGAAUUACUGGGCGUAAAGCGUGCGCAGGCGGUUCGUUGUGUCGGUGGUGAAAUCCCCGGGCUUAACCUGGGAAUGGCCAUGGAAACUGGCGAACUGAAGUGCGGCAGAGGGGGGUGGAAUUCCGCGUGUAGCAGUGAAAUGCGUAGAGAUGCGGAGGAACACCGAUGGCGAAGGCAGCCCCCUGGGCUAGCACUGACGCUCAGGCACGAAAGCGUGGGGAGCAAACAGG